AGUGUAGGCGGGAUCGUAAGUUAGGAGUUUAAUGCAUGGGCUUAACCCAUGAUCUGCUUUUAAUACUGCGGUUCUUGAGUAUGGGAGAGGGCGAUGGAAUUCCAGGUGUAGCGGUGGAAUGCGUAGAUAUCUGGAAGAACACCAGUAGCGAAGGCGGUCGCCUGGCCCAAUACUGACGCUGAUGCUCGAAAGCUAGGGGAGCAAACAGGAUUAGAUACCCUGGUAGUCCUAGCCGUAAACGAUGGACACUAGUUGCUGGAGGAGUCAAUCCUUUCGGUGACGAAGCUAACGCAUUAAGUGUCCCGCCUGGGGAGUACGCUCGCAAGGGUGAA
rnacentral:rRNA from 1 species